UAACCAUCCUAACGUUGCUAAUGUACAUACGCCAAGCCAGUGGGACUCUAGAGAAUUAAUGGCCCCCGCUCUCCCGCGCCAUCUGUCCUAGAAAUCGUACAACAUCCGAGUGAGAGAGGUAACUCUCGCUGGGUGGUCAGUUCAUCCACCUCUCGCAUUCUUCCAACGUGUCCCAACAGCUGAGAGCACCGAGAGCGUGGUGCCGCUGUCUGCUGCUGUUUGUUUCCAUGUGCUUAAGUUGUGAUUAAAGUUGCGGUUGUUAAUCGCGGUUAUUAUGGCUGAUAGUGUCCGUGUGUGCAUUUUCACCGAGCCCGAUUGAUUUCGAAGGAGACAACGGAUGGAACGGCAAGAUGUGCUGCUUCCUUUAUCUUCAGUACCGAGUGCUGCUGGGAGCUUUCUGAUUUGUCGACGCAGCAACGGGCAGAAAAUAUGGCAUCGCUAUUGUGGCAUUCUGCAUCAGCCUUUGGUCCCACAAGACACGCUGCUAACCUGCAUUUUGUUCCUCGGUCAAUUGCUGAACUUCUUUAAUCCCCAUAGAAGCCAACUACCAUCCGCAUCAAAUGAAAUGUGUAUCAUCCACUUGAAAAAAAAAAUUGCGAAGGAUGCGCAGGAAAAAACAAUACCCACUGGAAAUCGCGCAUCUUUCGGCUGCGUUGAAGUCUGAAUUGAAAAAAGGCGAGAGCUAACUUUUUCUCGAAUACUCUGACGAACUUCAUGCACAAUCAGCCGCACAAAUUCUGGCGCUAUCUGUCAAAACCUGAAAACCCAAUAGUGCAAAUUGAAAUCGCAGGAUCUCUUACCCAUGAUGCACACACUAUUGCUAACGCUUUGAAUGCCCAUUUCCAAUCCGUGUUCACACGCUCUUCCCGUCCAAGUGAUGUUUCGAUGCAUCUGAUCCAGCGAUGCCUGACGUAGUUAUAACUGAGCCAGGCAUACUGAACCUGCUCUUGAACAUUGACA